UGUGCCUAAUAUAAUAUGACGUGAGAUUCUUAACAUACGAAACGAUUUUAUUCUAAAAUUAUUAUACUUUUCGAUGUAUAAUUGUAUGCAUAGUACGUCAUAUUCACCACACAUCCAGACUUACUACCGCGUACCUGGUAUCAUGAUAAAGAUCGAUUCCGGUGGUAAAGUCAUAUGCAGUUAUAAUAAUAUUGUUAUAAACCAUCACGGGGCCAUGUACUACUCGGAAACAAAGCGCGAGCGCCAUCGGCAUACCCACCGCCGCGUCGUCCAGCCCUGCAACAACAGUUCAAUUAGGCUAAAAGGAAACUCGCGGUUCGUUCUUUCGUGACCACAACACCUAAACCGCGCUCAUCCCCUCGAAGCCGCCGACGCACAAAGUCAUCGUCGCCCACGAAAUUUAUUAUAAUACACAAUAUAAUACAGAGUACAGCAGUUGUUGCACAAAAUUAUAGUCGACAGUUGUACGCUCGUGCCCGCGUUCAAGAACUAUUUUUUACGAAACUGCUAAAAUAAUUUGAACACGACAAUAUAAUACAAUACAACGAUAAUAUUAUCAACUUAUUCGUGUAGAGCCUGCAGGAAUAAACAAAAGAAUUAACGUCAUUUACUAAGCAGCGGGAUAGAAAACAGUAAAAACUACCUAUGUAAUAAAAGAGGGUGUCGUCGCACGAUUACUUUCAUAUUACACAUGAAAGUUUUGGUAAAAACUAACGCUAUAUCAAGCUCGUCGACGCGAUGUCGUCUAUCAUUAUACACGCACGUGACUCAAUGGCGUUUCAGAUGCGACAAUAUCCGAUCGAAACAAAUUAUACGAUACAAUACCGAAUAUUACUGUCGCGUAUUUAAUUGACAAGGAAAACCGGUACAGUUGUAGCAUUGAAUUAUUAAUCAUCGCCUGACAUGUGGUAAUGUGAUCGCCAAACGUGAUAACGCCGCUCACCAAAUUACCUUAAUGCUCUAUAUGUAUACGAGUCGGCUCGGGGUUUUAUGGACUUUGGAUGUCAACGUGCUGUACAAGAAGGGGGUGGCGUUGUGUUGGACGGCAUGUGUUGUCCUAAGAACGCGAAAUGUAUGUAUAUUAUAUAAUCCACUAUAUGUGUAUAGGUGGAAUACACACACACACACAUAAAUAUAUAUAUAUAUAUAUACAUAUAACAGAUGAGUCUUUUUUAAAAUCGUCGUACGAAUGAUAAUUAAUUACAAAACCGUACCUAUUUGUUAUAGGUAACGAAAACGAAAACUUCAUUAAUCUAAAAUAUACAUACGUAUAUUAUAAUAUACCAUGGCAUGCUACUUGCGAUGCAGUAAUAUUGUUAUCAUUUUUUUUCAUUUUUUUUUUUUUUUUAUAUACGAAUAAAGGCUUCAACUAUAUUAGGUAUUUUUACCCCACAUCUAAUCAUUAUAGAUUUCUUAUCAAACAACUUAAUUCAAAU